ensembl:snoRNA
AUCAUUUGAGGUUGCUUUUGUAACUUAAGUGUGAUGAUUGAGUUCGCAUGUGCACGUGUGAGAUGUGCCCCCUUGAACCUUGUUACAGCAUGGCCACAUUACCCAUCUGACA